GAUCCUGGCUUAGGAUGAACGCUGGCGGCGUGCCUAACACAUGCAAGUCGAACGAAGCAUACGGACCGGAGAUUCGUCGAAGGACCGUAUGACUUAGUGGCGGACGGGUGAGUAAUGUAUGAGCAACCUGCCUUUCAGAGGGGGACAACAGUUGGAAACGACUGCUAAUACCGCGUAACGUAUCGUGGGGGCAUCCUCGUGAUACCAAAGGAGCAAUCCGCUGAAAGAUGGGCUCAUAUCUGAUUAGCUUGUUGGCGGGGUAACGGCCCACCAAGGCGACGAUCAGUAGCCGGACUGAGAGGUUGAACGGCCACAUUGGGACUGAGAUACGGCCCAGACUCCUACGGGAGGCAGCAGUGGGGAAUAUUGGGCAAUGGGCGAAAGCCCUGACCCAGCAACGCCGCGUGAAGGAAGAAGGUCUUCGGAUUGUAAACUUCUUUUAUGAGGGACGAAGGACGUGACGGUACCUCAUGAAUAAGCCACGGCUAACUACGUGCCAGCCGCUGC
rnacentral:rRNA from 1 species